rfam:Stomoxys calcitrans breed 8C7A2A5H3J4 unplaced genomic scaffold Scaffold145, whole genome shotgun sequence.
CCUUCGAUAGCUCAGUUGGUAGAGCGGUGGACUGUAGAAGAUGCAGCAUUUGUAUGUAUAGAUAUCCAUAGGUCACUGGUUCAAAUCCGGUUCGAAGGA